UCUCUCGGAGAUACCUUAAGCUCAGUGGUUGCCCACUGAAGCUAAGCAGGGUUGAGCCUGGUCACUACCUGGAUGGGAGACCUCCUGGGAAAACUAGGUUGCUGUUGGAA
ensembl:rRNA 5S_rRNA 5S ribosomal RNA